rnacentral:rRNA from 1 species
UAAUACGUAGGGUGCAAGCGUUGUCCGGAUUUAUUGGGCGUAAAGAGCUCGUAGGCGGUUUGUCGCGUCGGAUGUGAAAACCUAUGGCUUAACCAUGGGCCUGCAUUCGAUACGGGCAGACUAGAGUUCGGUAGGGGAGACUGGAACUCCUGGUGUAGCGGUGAAAUGCGCAGAUAUCAGGAAGAACACCGGUGGCGAAGGCGGGUCUCUGGGCCGAUACUGACGCUGAGGAGCGAAAGCGUGGGGAGCAAACAGG